rnacentral:rRNA from 1 species
UACGUAGGGUGCGAGCGUUGUCCGGAAUUACUGGGCGUAAAGAGCUCGUAGGUGGUUUGUCGCGUUAUCCGUGAAAACUCACAACUCAAUUGUGGGCGUGCGGGCGAUACGGGCAGACUGGAGUACUGCAGGGGAGACUGGAAUUCCUGGUGUAGCGGUGAAAUGCGCAGAUAUCAGGAGGAACACCGGUGGCGAAGGCGGGUCUCUGGGCCGAUACUGACGCUGAGGAGCGAAAGCGUGGGGAGCGAACAGG